rnacentral:tRNA from 1 species
CGUGGUGUAGCUCAGCCUGGGAGAGCGCCUGCCUUGGGAGCAGGAGGCCGCUGGUUCGAUCCCAGUCACCGCGA